GGAGUCCCGCCCAGCCUCCCGAGGAAGGAGAUGCGGAGCGCGCGCCAGGCCGCAGCCGCCGCCCAGAUCCCGCCCCAGCCGGCGAGGUGUGGGGUGAGCGUGUCGGCCGUCCCCGUACACGUCGGGUGAUGGGACUGGGGACACUAAGAGGCGAGGCGGUAUGGAGCGUCCCCUUCCCGCACCCUUUUGAAACAAAUCCCACCUUCCUGCUUCCUCUGCCCUCCCAAUCUCAGCCAAAAGGCUCAAGGACAGGGCGGCGUUCCGCUUGCACACACCGCGGUGUCGUGCUGCGAGCGCGUUCCAGAAACGCUCCUCUGUGACGCAAGCCACGCAUUUUCCAGGGUCAGAGAGCUUCAGGAGUCCCCGCUUGCCAAACAGUAGUACGUAAAUACGAAAGCUGAACACUGGGACGUGUGGCCCUAAAUAGUAUCACCGCGACGGCGGCCCCGGGAGAAGAGAUGUACUGCCAUGUACUGGCUCUGUGCCUUUGAGUGAGCUGUUUAACCUCUCUGAGCCUCCGUCUCUUUACCUGAAAAAGGAGCAUAUUAUCUGUUUCAGUUGCUGUGACAUGGGUAGUAGAGCUAUCUGUGUUAGCACAAUGCCGGGGACAUACCAGAUAAUAAAUGGGAUUUAUUUUUACCAUUAUUGCUUUUUAAAAUUAUUUCAUUAUUAAGAUUUUAUCAGAACCACCAAUCUGCGUUUUCCCUGAAGCACAUUUUACCAAAAGUUUGAGAGAAAACGGUUUUUGGCGGUUUUAUAACUAUUUGAUGUAUUCGAGUAUCAGCAGUUCUCCCACACUGACUGUUGGUUUUAGAAAGUGUAACGGGUACAUAGUUUUGUGAACUCCGAAAGUUUGAGACAAGUCUCAGUUAAUGUAUAAAGUUUAUCUUGACAAGGUUGAGGACGCGUGCCCGUGACACAGCCUCAGGAAGUCCUGAGAACACGUGCCCAAGGGGUGAACAGCUUGGUUUUAUACAGGGAGACAGGAGACCUCAAUCUAUAUGCAAGAAGUACAUUGGUUCCUGCCGGAAAGGUGGGACAACUUGAAGCAGGGAGGAAGGCUUCCAGGUUAUAAGUAGGUGAGAGACAAAUGGUUGCAGUCUUUGGAGUUUCUGAUAAGCCUUUCCCAAGGAAGCAAUCAGAUAUGCAUCUGUCUCAGCAGAGGGAUGACUUUGAAUAGAAUGGGAGGCAGGUUUGCCUUGAGCAGUUCCCAGCUUGAAUUUUCCCUUUAGCUCAGUGAUUUUGUGGCCCGUGAUAUUUUCCUUUCACAUAUCAGUGAAUCUUCAUUCGCAUUAUGUUUUUCUGGACAACCACAUGUGGAUACCGUAUGGGACAUUAUUCUUUUGGCCAGACAGCUUUGUCAAACCUGGUAUCAGUAUGCGCAUCUGGAGUGCCCAUCUCUUUCUUGGCAAAUUUCCAGAUAUCUUUGCUGAGUGCCCGAGGGGCACACUUCCUGAAGUCCGUUUCAAUGGGAUGUGCUUGGGAAUGUUGAUGGUGUCACCACCUCAUUGAUGGCUGAAUGGCCCCCUUCUUCUUCCCACCCUUCUUCUGCGGGACCUAAGUUGGAAAGAAGAAAACAAUUUUAAGUUGAAUAUUACACAUUCUUAAAAUAGUCCCUCAAACAUUUCCACAGCUCUACCCCAGCCUCUCAGGUUGCCUCCUCCUUUCUAAUCUCCUUCCUUCUAGAUUAUUCCCUGAGCUCCAAAGUCUUGUCACUUUAUCAUGCACAGCAUUAUUCAGCUCCCUCAAUCCCUGUUUGCAAUUUUGCUGCUUUCUGCCUGAGCAUGUCAAGAUGCUCAGCUGAACAUUAAUUUGCGUGAAAGUACAAAGGCCCAGCAGAAACCUUGAGACUAUUUUAGCAAGAUUUUUUUCCCUCAGGAAGGAAUCAACUGUUGUAUAAAGUGCUUUUUCCUUUCUCCAAAGUAUAUUCACCAUGCUUCAACCAAUAUACAGAGAAUGUGCAUAUAAAAGUACAUAUUAAAUGGUGUCAACUUUUGCUUCUUAGUCAAAGACUUAGAGUCCAGAAACUGGAGAGAACCUUUGAGGACUUUAGUAAACAGCUGUAUUACUUCUCUGUUGUUAUGGUCUGAAUGUGUCCCCUAAAAUUUCUAUGUUGAAACUUAAUUAUCAAUGUGAUAGUAUUAAGAGGUGGAGCCUUUAGGAGAGAAUUAAGUCAUGAGGGCAGAGCCUUAUAAAAGGGCGUGAGGGGGUGAGUCAGUUCCUACCAUCUCUUCUACCAUGUGAGUGAAACUGCCUUUGAAAAAUUAUAACAGUGAGAAAAUUUUGACAGUGAAAGAGAUCUGACCUAACCAACUCCAUCUUGCUUCUCACUUCCAAGCUGCCCUUGUUUAUUCCUGGGCAUAGGCCAAACUAACUUUGGGAGGAAUUUAGAUUACAAACUUUGAAACAAAGAUGAUAAGAGCUCUUCCAUGAAACAAAUCCCCAGCUUUCCUGGGGACCAGACCACCUUUGUUAAACUAACAGAUUAGGCAGGGCACAAUGGCUCAUGCCUGUAAUCCCAGCACUUUGGGAGGCCAAAAUGGGAGGAUUGUGUAAGUCCAGGAGUUCGAGACCAGCCUGGGCAACAUAGACCUUGUCUCUACAAAAAAUGAACAAAAUUAGCUGGGCAUGGUGGCACUUGCCUGUAGUGCUUCGUGGGGAGCAUCACUUGAGCCCAGGAGGUGUAGUUUGCAGUGAGCCAAGAUCCUGCCACUGCAUUUCUGCCUGUGUGACAGAGCGAGACCUUGUCUCAAAAAAUAAGUAAACUAACAAAUUAACUAGAAGAUUAGAAAUUAUAGCUCAGGAGUCAUGCAGCCAGAGUCCACAAGAUCACCAACCUCCACAAUUGCUCCUAUAGAUAACAUUGCUAUUAUAAAACCUAACAUUGGUGUUUGAGUUAUUUUUCAAAUCCUGAAUUCCAGUGGACCAGCUGGAACCACACAGAUAAGUAAAAUGACUCAUCUGGUCUUGUGGCCCCCUCCAGAAACUGACUCAGCAUAAGAUGACAGCUUCGACUCCCUAUAAUUUUAUUCCUGACCCAACCAAUCAGCAUUCCCCAUUCUAUAGCCUGCUGUCUGCCAAACUAUAAAAAAACCCUAGCCUCUGAAUUUUCAGGAGGUUAAUUUGAGUAGUAAUAAAACUCAUCUUCUGUUUAGCCAGCUCCACAUGCACUAAACUCUUUGUCUUGAUAAAUUGGCUCUAUCUGGUCAGCAGGCAAGAAAAACCUAUUGGAUGGUUACAUGAGGACACAGCAAGAAAGCCCUUAUGAGACACUGAGUUCCGGCAUCUUGAUCUUGAACUUCACAGCCUCUAGAACUGUAAGAAAACUAAUUUCUGUCAUUUAUAAAUUAUCCAGACUGUAUUUUGUUACAGCACCACUAACAGACUAAGACACACAUGUAGAUAUAAAGUGUAAUCAUACUGUAAGCUUCUAUAAAAAAAUUUUUACAUAGCAGACAUGAGCCAGCCCCUGUAAAUUCACUGAGAAUUUGUGAUCCAUGUUGGACUGAUGUGACUGAAAGGAAUGGAAAAAGCAAUACAAAACAAGCUAGACUGUGUCACCUUGUCCCCAGUACCCUCUGGCUUCAUGAGGUUCAGAAGACAAAAGGAAAGAAAAGUCAUAUUUUUUCCCCCUGCUUCUUUUCUUCCAAGCUAUAAUUUGUGUUCCUCUAAGUGUGGCCAUAGCUUCCUACCCUUGUCCAGUAUCCAUAGAGAUAGUACUAAUUUUUCUCUGUUGCUGAUUGGGUGCUCACCAGCCCUGGAGGUUUAAUUCUGCCCACACUCCUGUAAAUAGUCCCUUCAUUAAUUAAUUAAUCAAUUUCCCUUUUGAGUGUGCUAUCAUUUCCUGCCCUAGAACCCUUUUUGAUAUGCUGGAAAGAUAAUUUUCAAAAAAGGUAAAAUAAUGACUCUCAUGCAGCUAUAAAAUGAACAUGUGUCAAAAAUUUUAUUUAAUACAUUAAUUAAAUGAGGGAACCAGUAAAGAUAUUAUAGCCAGUUCAAAGGAGAAGUGAAAAAACAGGAAUUCAGAAAAAUUUGCAAAGGCUGUAAAACUGGCUCUUUCCUUGGGAAUCAGGGAGGGUUGCCCUUCUACCUGACAGAAUUUAUUUGCACAUGUAUAGGUAAGAAUUAUGUGCGUUGUUACCAUUUAUCUGCAAUUUACAGAGUUGUAAAAUAGCUCAAAGACAGUGAAUUGGAAUCAGAUACCCUGAAAAGUUGUGCUCUAAACAAUACGUAAUAUUCCACUGAAGCAUAAUUUUUCUCCAUAUACAUUUGCCUUCUUUCUUUAAAGGGUACUUUGAUUCAGGUAAUUACUUGUGUAGUGAUAUGAGGGCAUCCUAUUCACCAGGAUUUAUUUAGCACAAACAUAGUUUUUAUCUGGAGUAAGUGCUUUGAAAUGCUGAUGGAGUGGAAGGAGAGAUCUGUAGGGAAGGCUCAGAACAGCUUUACAGGAAGCAAGGAGAGGAAUUCACUUUGUAGAGCAAAGGGGAAGGGGAGGAGGCAGAAGAUUGCAAAGACUGUUCACAAUGUGAGCACUCCUUAUAACCCAAACCUUCAGUAAAGUUUGCAAAAAAAGAGAGAUUAUUGGAUACUGAAGCUUUUAUGUGUUGUGCUUUUGUGAAAAUUGGAGGAAAGGAUGAAUUUUUUUUAUGAGAGUUUGUGGCAAUGGAGAUAGACUUUGCACACAAAGAGUCUGAGUGGUGGUGGGGUGGGGGGUACUAUAAAUGAGACUAUGAGCCUCAAGAAUUUACAGACAUGGACAGGGAGAACUCUAGACUUUCACAAACUGAGACUGGUAAUGUUAAAAGAUAAAUUUGGGCACAUUAAAAGUUUUAAAAAUUUAUUUGAACUGUUGAUUUAAAAAAAAGACUCAAACUCUGUAAAAUAUUUUAAGAGAUUUAUUCCGAGCCAAAUGUGAGUGACCAAGGCCUGAGGCACAGUCCCAAGAGGUCCUGAAAACAUGUGCCCAAGGUGGUCGGGUCAUAGCUUGAUUGUGUACAGUUUUAGGGGAACAGAAGUUGCAGGCAGACAUCACUCAGUACAUGUAAAGCGUACACUGCUUUGGUCUGAAAAGGCAGGACAACUUUAAGACGUAAUAUAGGGGGAUUGGGAAACUUGUGGCAGGAGGGGGCUUCCAGGUUAUAGGGAGAGUCAAAGAUUUUCUGACUGGCAAUUGGUUGAAAGAGUUAAGUUACUAUCUCAAGACCUAGGAUCAAUUGAAAGGAGUGUCUGGAUUAAGACAAGGGGUUGUGGAGACCAAGAUUCUUAUUACACAGAUAAAGGUCCCACAUAGCAGGCUUCAGAGAGAACAGAUAGUAAAUGUCUCUUAUCAGACCUAAAAAGGUGUCAGACCUUAAAAGGAAAAACCUGGAAAGGGAAGGGGAUCCUCUACAGAAUAUAGAUUUUCCCCAGAAGAAAUAGCUUUGCAGGGCUAGUUCAAAAUAUGUCAAAAAAAUAUGUUUUGUAGUAAAACACUUCAGUUUAUUUCAGGACCUGCUAUCUGUCAUGUGUUGCUACUGAGGAGUAAAUUCUGAUUUUUUUAUCUUGCCCAAAUUCCUAUCUAAGAGUUCUGGGGAGUCAUGCCCUACAAACCAUAAAUUCUCAUCAGAUGGGUUUUAUUUAACCCUAUAUAUCGAGACUUACUUUUCACCCUGACUCUGGAAUAACAUUACAUGACAAGGAAGAAAAGCAAAAUAUUUUAUCCCAAAACAUGUUUUUUUGCCAUAUCUUGAAAUGGCCCUGCAAAUCUGUCUUUUGUGGGGGAAAAUUUGCAUCAGUAAAGAAUCUCUAUUAACAUAGCUAGAUCUUUUACUUCCAGGCCCUCCCAAUCCUAAAAAGAUUAACUUAAAGUCUAGCACCUUUUAAAGAUCUGAAUAGGAAACGUUUGUCAUCUGUUGUCUCUGAGGGCAGCCACAAUAAAACUUCAAAAGAACCUUGGUCUCCACAAUCCUUUAUCUUAACCUGAACAUUUCCUUUCUGUGAUCUCAGGUCUUUAGAUAAACUCAACCAAUUGUAAAUCAGAAAAUGUUUAAAUUUACCUAUAGCCUGGAAGCCCCAACUUUGAAUUGUCCUACCUUUCAGGACUAAACCAAUGUAUUUCUUAAAUGUAUUUGAUUGAUGUCUCAUGCCUCCCUAAAAUGUAUAAAACCAAACUGUGCCCCAAUCACCUUGGGCACAUGUUCUGAGGACCUCCUGAGAGCUGUGUCACGGGGCCAUGGUCACUCAUAUUUGGCUCGGAAUAAAUCUCUUCAAAUAUUUUACAGAGUUUGGGAGUCCUCGGCCUCCCAAAGUUCUGGGAUUACAGACGUGAGCCACUGUGCCCAACCUUGUAACUGUUUCUUAUCAGACUUUAAAAAGGUGCCAGAGUUAGUUAAUUCCCUUCUGAAUCAGGGAAAGUACUUGGAAAGGGAAGAGGAUUCUCUGUAGAAUGUAGAUUUUCCCCACAAGAGACAGCUUUGCAGGGCCAUUUCAAAAUAUGUCAAGAAAUAUAUUUUGGGAUAAAAUCUUUAGUUUCUUGCAGAACCUGCUCCUUGUCAUGUUGGUAUCUUAGGCUACAAACAGUCUGUUUUGUCAGAUGUAAAAUCUCUAUGUUAAUGUUAAUGCUGGUCAGCUGUACCUAAAUUCCAGAAGGGAGGACAGAAUAAUGAGACAUGUCUGACCCCGCCUUCCCAUCAUGGCCUGAACUAGUUUCUCAGGUUAACUUUGGAAUGCUCUUGGCCAAAAGGAGGGGUCCAUUCAGUUGGUUGGAGGGUUUAGAAUAUAUAUAUUUUUUGAGACAGAGUCUCACUCUGUUGCCCAGGCUGACGUGUAGUGGCAUGAUCUCAGCUCACUGCAACCUCCGCCUCUUGGGUUGAAGUGAUUCUCCAACCUCAGCCUCCCGAGUAGCUGUGAUUACAAGCCUGAGCCACUGCCCCAGCCGAAUUUUAUUUUUGGUUUACAAGGGAGAAGCUCAUUGGGUAAACCAACUAAGGAGGGGCAGAAUAACCAAAUACUUAUUUUAUUUUGUUAAUCCUUUCAGAGGUGCAAUGGUUUUCACUCACAUCUGUGUGAAGAGACCACCAAACAGGCUUUGUGUGAGCAAUAAAGCUUUUAAUCACCUGGGUGCAGGCGGGCUAAGUCCGAAAGGAGAGUCAGCAAAGGGAUAUAAGGAUGGGGCCAUUUUAUAAGAUUUGGGUAGGUAAAGUAAAAUUAUAGUCAAAGGGGGGUUGUUCUCUGAUUGGCAGGAGUGGGGUUCACAGGGUACUCAUUGGGGGAGCUUUUGAGCCAGGAUGAGCCAGGAGAAGGAAUUUCACAAGACAAUGUCAUCAGUUAAGGCAGGAACAGGCCAUUUUCACUUCUUUUGUGGUGGAAUGUCAUCAGUUAAGGCAGGAACCGGCCAUCUGGAUGUGUACUUGCAGGUCACAGGGGAUAUGAUGGCUUAGCUUGGGCUCAGAGGCCUGACAUUUGUGUUGACAGAUUUUUACUUUGUAUUUGCCAGGCCUCUUUCAGACUCAAGCACAAAAAACUCAGUUCAAAUGUCUUUAAAUAACUGGACACUAUUUUGUCUGAUGUUGAUGCAGGAUUUUUCUUGGUCACUUUGCCAGCUGGAGACCUCUGGCUGGUGAUGCCCCCUCCAGGCUUUGGUGGGGCACACUACCUGCCCCUAGGAGGUGGCCUGCCCUUCGACCCACCCAGGCUGGGCCCCAGCCCCCCUGUGUUAUAGCUCGUACCCACAUACAGCGGUCCCUAAGUUCUUGUCCUGUGUCCAAGAAGAAUGCGCGUACUCUGACAAUUGAAGGGUGAGGAGGGCGGAAAAGAAUUGUAUUGAGCAAGAGAAGAGCUCUCAAUAGAGGCAGGACAUGGGGGUGGUCCCCCACUUGAAGUUGGGCGGUUUCUUUCCCAGUGUGGCUGAGUCCAGGGCUUUUAUGGGCUCAGAAUAGGGGAGUACGUGCUGGUUUGUGAAUAUGCAAAAAAGAUUAAAACACAGGCAUGAAUCAAAGGUGGGCAUGACUGUAAAAAACCCAUUAGGGAAGGGGUAGGUGUAUGUAAAGUAGGUGAAGGGUAGGGGUAAAUCAGAGGAAAGCAUGCCAAACUGGAAGACAGGUUCUUAAUCUGGUUCAUGGAUUUGACUUAUAACUUGGUUCUUAGGCUUUAAAUUGUCUUUGGCUUGGAGGUGGGGUUUCACCAGUUACCUGUCCCUGUCUGCCUAGGCAUUUUUCUGCCUCCUGCUGCUAUCCAUUCCCCUCUCUGAGGAGGUACAUCUAACUGCCAUUAGAAUAGAAAUGAAGACUGAACUUAACUGCUUCCUGCUGACAGGGGCCGCUGUUUUGGGAAGAUGGCAGUCAGAUCUCCCUCAGAGGCCUAUUUAAGGGUCCCCGGUAAAAGGGAGCCAUUGUCUGAAGCUGCGGUUGCAUUACAGUUUGGAGUUUGAUAACCUGAAGUCAAGAAGAGACAUAUUAGAAGACAUAUGUCAGGCCAGGCACAGUGGCUCAUGCCUGUAAUCCAAACACUUUGGGAGCCUGAGACAGGCGGAUCAUAAGGUCAGGCGUUUGAGACCAGCCUGGCCAACAUGGUGAAACCCCGUCUUGGCCAGGCGCGGUGGCUCACGCCUGUAAUCCCAGCACUUUGGGAGGCCGAGGCAGGCAGAUCACGAGGUCAGGAGAUCGAGACCAUCCUGGCUGACAUGGUGAAACCCUGUCUCUACUAAAAAUACAAAAAAUCAGCCAGGCGUGGUUGUGGGUGCCUGUAGUCCCAGCUACUCGGGAGGCUGAGGCAGGAGAAUGGCGUGAACCUGGGAGGCAGAGCUUGCAGUGAGCCAAAAUCACGCCACUGCACUCCAGCCUGGGCGACAGAGCAAGACUCCAUCUCAAAAACAAACAAAAAAAGAAACCCCAUCUCUACUAAAAAUACAAAAAAUUAGCUGGGCGUGGUGGCAUGUGCCUGUAAUCCCAGCUACUUAGGAGGCUGAGGCAGGAGAAUUGCUUGAACCCAGGGGGCGGAGGUUGCAGUGAGAUGAAAUUGCGCCAUCGUACUCCAGCCUGGGUGACAGAGCAAGCAAGACUCCAUCUUGAAAAAAAGAAAAAAAGAGGACAUGUAUCAAAACAAAACAAAAGAGGGGGGAUAAGGGCAGCUCCAAAAUCCUGAGGCUGCUGACACGCCCAGAUAACUGGGGGCUAUGGUUAUGCCUGCUAAGAUUUGAGUGCAUGGGCUUAGCUUUGGUUAGCUCCUUUGGUCUUAUUUUCCCAAAAACGAAACUGCUGGGUUAUAGACACCCUAUUUACUCCUGUCACCUGGCAGGACUUGCAGAAUGAUUGCCCAGAACUUAAAAAUUGUUUCAGAUUUUUACAUUACCCAUCCCUUUUUUCUCUUCUGAACUGCAGCCAGAGAUCACUGGUUAGUUCACAGGAAUAAGCAGGGUUAGUCUAAAAUGCAGACAAAAACUUAAAAACUACUAAUAAUGAGACUAGAAUAGAAUGACAAGUGUAUAAGUUUUGAAACAUAAUUGCUCUCUCUCCAGUCCUCAUUUUUGUUAAAACAAAUCAUGAUAGGACUGAAUUGUUUGCAAAACUGAGUUUAGUUUCAUACUUGGCCUGAUUAUUUGCAUAAAGUGCAGCAAGAAUAAUUAUUUUCACAUAGGCUUUUAAAAAUUGGCUCUGAUGAAACCCUGUUCUCUAAGGAAGCUCAGUUGACACUUUUUAAAGCCCAGCCCAGCCAUGGGUUUGUACUCUUAAAUACCUAUGAAUUGGGUACAUUUCUCUCUUCUUGAGGGCCCAAGAUGACUUGGGGCUCCUAGCCCUGUUAGAAAGUGACAUUUCUAACUCACCAAACCUGUAUGGAGAUUGUGUAGACAAGGCAUGAGGCAAGCUUUCCUGAGGGAAAACUUGCAAGCUUUAUUGCCUCUGCAAGUCAAGCUUGAUUCCCUAGAGGGAACCACACCCUUUUAGUAAAAGCCUUGGUAAAAGAACCAGUUUCUCCAAUUGCAUCUUGUUGCAAAAGAAAAUGGAUUCUUAUUGCGCUUAUGCAGAACAUUAUAUUGCUAUAAGUUAAGAAUAUUUGCAUCUAGCUUCCAAAUUUUGGAGAAACCAGGCAGAGAGAAACAAAUAUGCUCCAAAUUUUGUUUGCAGGAGUAUACCUUACUCAAUUGUUAAAAGUUGUAAAUAGCUGAAAAUAAAAGUUUUCCUGGCUUUGAAAAACAAAAGGUUCAGCAACAUUUUAAGCAAAAAAUUAAAAAGGAUUACUUCAGUUUUCUAUUAGUUCAGUCCAUUUUGUUAACUCUUAUUCUGCAAUUCAGCUCUUCAUGAAUCCUAUAUUGUUUUCCUCUAUUCCAAUGUCACAAUCUCCCAAGUUAUCAGAAACCUUUAUUUAAGAGCACGUGUCAAAGUCCUAUAGCUGAUUAUAAACCAUCUUUUGAAAAGGAUCAAAACAAGACAACAGUUGUCUCUGAAUAACAAAAUGUCCAGGGUAGUUACAGUCAAAAACAGGAUUAACAAAGAAAUUUGGUUAUUAUUGUGGUUUAUAAUAACUUAACAUAGUAACUCUAAUUAUGAUUGAUAGCAUAUACUCAAACAUUAGAAUUUUAGAAAUCCAAUACAAUUUUGGAACAUAUUUUAAUAUGAUAUACUAAAAUAUAACCUGAAGAAGUUAAACAUAAUUUUUAUUUUGACAAUGCUGUGUAACUAAACAUGUCAGAUAAUCCUGUUUAUUUCUCUUUUGGGUGCUUCAGGGGCCCUCUGUAGCAGCUAAAAGUUGGGAGUCAGGAAAGAGAAUUUUGAAGUUGAAGUUUGAUUUUGGGAAGCCUAUCAAAUAUGUUAAAGAUUUAGAACACUUGAUAUUAUGAAAUAGAAUUCCAGGUUAUCAUAAAUCAUUUAUUUACCUAAAAUGAUGGCUCAAAAUUUUAAUGUUAUAUAUCUUUAUUUCUUUAAUCAUACGAUCCAUUCUUUUUUUAUUAUUAUACUUUAAGUUCUGGGGUACAUAGGCACAACAUGCAGGUUUGUUACAUACGUGUACAUGUCCCAUGUUGGUUUGCUGCACCCAUCAAUUCGUCAUUUGCAUUAGGUAUUUCUCCUAAUGCUAUCCCUCCCCAAGCCCUCCACCCCUCAACAGGCCUCAGUGUGUGAUGUUCCCCUCCCUGUGUCCAUGUAUUCUCAUUGUUCAAAUCCCACUUAUGAGUGAGAACAUGCGGUGUUUGGUUUUCUCUUCUUGUGUUACUUUGCUGAGAAUGAUGGUUUCCAGUUUCAUCCAUGUCCCUGCAAAGGACAUGAACUCAUCCUUUAUUAUGGCUGCAUAGUAUUCCAUGAUGUAUAUGUGCCACAUUUUCUUUACCUAGUCUAUAAUUGAUGGGCAUUUGGGUUGGUUCCAAGUCCUUGCCAUUGUGAAUAGUGCUGGGCCCAAGCUGAGCUGCUGUCAGUAUCCAAAGGGUCCAGUCUGGUGAUCUGAAGAACAACAACAGGAGACUCUGGACAGCAGAAAAGGUCCAUCCCUGAUCUAGGUUCUGAGGGCCUGCCAUGAGCCUUUCCAUCUUAGUUCAAAUUUCUCCUUUCACUGUGAGAGUUACCUGAAACUCGGCGUCUGUGAUGGUCUAGGGGGCUUCCAAGGUGAUCGGGCAGUGUCAGUCUUCAGCCACUAAGCCGAGAAGAUCUGGGAAGGAGUCAGUCAGAGAGCCAGGGGCUCUGCGAGUGGCUGCCAGGUGAGUUGAACUGUCCGAUUUUCAGUGGGGUCCUGCACAGAUUGGACGCAGCUUAGGAGGAAUUCUGGGCUGUGGGCAUUCCUUGGCCUGGUGGCCAGAUUUCUGGCACUUGUAGCAAGCUUCUGGGGGAGGCGGGCCUGAAGGAAUGCCUGGCCACUGUGGUUUAGGCAUUUGGAAGUUUUUGUGUGUGGAGAUGUGGCUGGGGUUUGUCUCACAGUGGAGGCAAGGAAUUGCAACUCAGAAAUAUGUUGCUACUUGGCUGCCUCUACUCUAUUAUUGUACACCUUGAAGGCGAGGUUAAUUAAGUCCUGUUGUGGGGUUUGAGGGCUGGAAUUUAAUUUUUGGAGUUUUAUUUAAUGUCGGGAGCAGAUUGGAUAAUAAAAUGUAUAUUGAGAAUAAGACGUCCUUUUGACCUUUUAGGGUCUAGGGCUGUAAAGCGUCUCAGGGUUGCUGCUAAAUGAGCCAUGAACUGGGCUGGGUUCUUAUAUCUGUUGAAAAAGAGCCUAAAUGCUCUCUAAUUUGGGAUAAAGAAAAAGGAGCAUUAACCUUGAUUGUGCCUUUAGCUCCAGCCACCUUUUUAAGAGGAAAUUGCUGGGCAGGUGGGGGAGGGCUAGUCUCAGAACGAAACUGUGAGCCGGACCUGGUGUGAGGAGGGGAGGUGAUAAAAAGGAUAAUAGGGUGGAGGAGCAGAGGCUGAGGAAGAAUUGGGACCUAGCUCAGCCUGGCGAGGAGGGGAGAGGUCAGAUGGGUCUGUAGAAAAGGAAUAUUAGAAAGACUCAGCGAUGCUUGGGGUUGGGACUAAGGGGACAGGCGGGAGAGAAAGAAGGAAGAUUUGGGACAAGUUGCAUUGGGAACAGAAACUAGGGAGGGACCGACGUGUAAAAGAAUGCCUGGACGUCAGGCACCUCAGACCGUUUGCCUAUUUUACGGCAAGAAUUAUUUAGAUCUCAUAGGAUGGAAAAAUUGAAAGUGCUAUUUUCUCGCUAUUUGGAACCACUGUUGAGUUUGUAUUGGGUCAAGUGGCAUUGCAGAAGGAAAUAAGGCAUUUAGGUUUUAGGUCAGGUGUUUGUUGAAGAGGUUUUAGGUUUUUAAGAACACAGGCUAAGGGAGAAGAAGGGGGAAUGGAGGGUGGAAGCUUGCCCAUAGUGAAGGAGGCAAGCCCAGAGAAAAGAGAGAGUAGAGACACGGAGAGAAGGGGUGGGGGGUUCUUGACCCCCAGAAAAGCAGAGAAGGGGUAAAGACAGAGAGAAGGGGUCGGGGGGUUCCUGCCCCCUAGAAAAGCAGUACUUGCCACUAAGAGUGAAGGAGAAGGGGUUGAGGGGUUCUUGCCCCCUAGAAAAGUGGUACUUGCUGCUAAGGGUGAAGGAGAAGGGGUUGGGGGGUUCUUGCCCGCCAGAAAAGUGGAGAAGGGGUAGAGACACGGAGAGAAGGGGUUGGGGGGUUCUUGCCCCCCAGAAAAGCGGUACUUGCUGCUAAGGGUGACGGACCAAGGCAGGCGUCCCUGCAUGGUCAGACACCUCUGAAACUUAGGUGAAUAAUCAGGCAGGCGUCUCCGCGUGAUUAAACACCAAGAGAAGACUGUCUUCCCCAGUCCUUGACUGGCGCCGGAGUUUUGGGUCCACGGAUAAAACGUGUCUCCUUCAUCUCUACCAGAAAAGGAAAGGAACUGAAAUUAAGAGAAGGGAGAGACUGAAGUGUGACGCCAAGAUUUAAAGGAGAAAGAGGUUGAGGGAUAGUGAGAGAGGUUGUAGAAGAGAGUAAAAAGAGGCCACUUACUGGAUUUAAAAUUGGUGAGAUGUUCCUUGGGCUAGUUGGUCUGGGGACCAGAGGUCGUAGGUGGAUCUUUCUCACAGAACAAAGAGCAGGAGGACAGGGGAUUGAUCUCCCAAGGGAGGUCCCCCGAUCUGAGUCAUGGCACCAAAUUUCACUCACGUCCAUGUGAAGAGACCACCAAACAGGCUUUGUGUGAGCAAUAAAGCUUUUUAAUCACCUGGGUGCAGGCGAGCUGAGUCCAAAAAGAGAGUCAGCCCAAAAAUUUUUUUAAAAAGCAAAAACCUUUACUCAUUUAGAGGGAAGACUUAGGUUUCCAAACAGUCUGUCUCUUGUAUCUCCCUUCCUUUUUUUUUCAGUAGCUUAUUUGCAAGACAAACAAAAGUCUUUCAUUAUCCUUUAAUUAUAUUACGUGAAAAUCUUGUUUAAGAGAGAGAAAGCCAAAUUCCACCCUUACAUUAGUCUUCUAUUAAUGUCAGCCUUAAUUUUUAAAAAACGAAACCUUAUAGGCUGGGGGUGGUGCCUCACACCUGUAAUCUCAGCACUUUGGGAGACAAAGGCAGGGGAUCAUUUGAGACCAGGAGUUCGAGAACAGCCUGGCCAACAUGGACAGACCUUGUCUCUAUUAAAAAUGCAAAAAUUAACUGGGCCUGGUGGUACCCACCUGUAAUCCGAGCUACUCAGGAAUCUGAGACAGGAGAAUCACUUGAACCCAGUAGGCGGAGGUUGCAGUGAGAUUGUACCACAACACUCCAGCCUGGGUAGUGACAGAGUGAGACUCUGCCUCAAAAACAACAACAAAAAACCUUAUAGGUAAUUCUAUCAAAUCUUAACCUGUUCAUCUGUCAGGUGAGAUUCUUAUAAACCAUUUUUUUUUUUUUUUUUUUGAGACAGAGUCUCGAUCUGUUGCCCAGGCUGGAGUGCGGUGGCACGAUCUCAGCUCACUACAACCUCCGCCUCCCUGGUUCAAGCAGUUCUUCUACCUCAGCCUCUUGAGUAGCUGGGAUUACAGGCACCCACCACCAUACUUGGCUAAUUUUUGUAUUUUUAGUAGAGAUGGGGUUUCGCUGUGUUGGCCAGGCUGGUCUCGAACUCCUGACAUGGGGUUGGGCGAUCCGACCACCUCAGCCUCCCAAAGUGCUGGGAUUACAGGCAUGAGCCACUGCGCCCAUCCUCUUAUAAGCCUUUUAUAACUCUUUACACAUUUUUGUUAAAGAGCAGAUCAGUGCCUUUAGAAAACCUUGUUUUCCUUUUAUUCCCAUGUUCUAUUUGUGGAAAAACCAAAUAAUACUCUUGAAUUUAGUCAAUACAUUUACACACAAGAUUUCUUUUACAAAGUUAAUUUUUACAGACCUUCCACAACUUGUUCAAACCUUUAAUUUAAAACAAUCCUUUAACCCUCUAGGCAAAAAUUUACAUUCCCAUGCCUUCUUAUAAUCUUUUACUAAAAACAUAUUUUACUUUUCUCUUACACCUUCCAUGUAAAUCUAUUUUCGGUAGCCUCCGUUACAUGUUAUAAUGGUAACUCUUAGAUAUUUUUAGUGUUAAUGUAAAACCUGGUUAGUUAUUUUAAUUAUGUACUAGGCACAGGUAAGGUGUCUUUCCAGCAUAGUUAGGGGUACAGUUAAAUCCAUAUGUCCCCAGGCCUUAAACUGUAAAGCAGGCAAGUCUUAACAACUUUCAAAAGCCAAAGAAGCAGUUUUUGACCUUAAAGUAUUUAGUAAUCCAAGUAUUUGACCUGCAUAAUUUAGACCACAUAUUUACAUUUUGAAGACAUUUGUCAUAUAACCUUUAAGACUUUUUUUAUUUCUCAAAGAUUAAAGUCACAUGAACUAAAAGGGAUUACAGCUUCUAUUUUUUCUUUAAAAAUAUUUGAUCUAAGUGCUUAUUUUUACUUAAUCCAAUUAAUUGGAGCUCUUUUUUAUAUAAACAUCACAUACAUAUCACAUGCAUAACUACACAGACAGAAGAAGAUCCACUAGUUAUAAGAUUUUUUUUUUUUUUUGAGACACAGUCUUGCUGUGUCGCUCAGGCUGGGGAGCAGUGAUGUGAUCUCAGCUCACUGCAAACUCCACCUCCUGAGUUCAAGUGAUUCUCCUGCCUCAGCCUUCUGAGUAGCUGAGAUUACAGGCACCCAUCACCAUGUCUAGCUAAUUUUUCUAUUUUUAGUAGAGAUGGGGUUUCACCGUGUUGGCCACGGUGGUCUCAGACUCCUGGCCUCAGGUGAUCCACCCACCUCAGCCUCUGAAAGUUCCAGGAUUACAGGUGUCAGCCACCUGGCCCUGACAGAUUUUUCACUUGCCAAUCUCCUAAUUGGGUUACUGGACUCGGGUUGAGCUCUUCAAAAAACCGGUAGGAAAACAUGCCGUUUCUAGGGCCUAAUAAGUAGGUACAGCUUGAAGACAAAAACAGAUUUUGAGAGGGAUCUAUCUGACUUUAAUUAUUAGUUAGAGUUCCCUGAGGAAAACAUUUUUCCCAAAAUGGGUUCUGUGGUGCCUUCUCUGUUUUUCCCAAGGAAUCCCAGGCUAUCAGAAAUUAUCUUAGGCUUCUCAUGUGUGCAUUAAGAGUGAAAAAAAAAUUAAGUCAACUGAGAAGACAAAAACCUUUUUCCAACCAAACAAGAUCCAAGAAGAGAAAAAAAAGACAUAAAGGUGUUUUAAAUAUACCUAUAGCUAGGAUAUCCAAUUUUUUUUUGUUUCAGACAGAGUCUCACUCUGUUGCUCAGGCUGGAAUGCAGUGGCACAAUCUCAGCUCACUGCAACUUCUACCUCUUGAGUUCAAGAGGUAGCCUCCCAAGUAGCUUACAUUACAGGUGCAUGCCACCAUGCCCAGCUAAUUUUUUGUGUUUGUAGUAGAGACAGGAUUUUGACAUGUUGGCCAGGCUGGUCUUAAACUCCUGAGCUCAUGCAAUCUACCCGCCUCGGCCUCCCAAAGUGCUAGGAUUACAGACGUGAGCCACCACACGCAGCCUCUCCACUUUUAAUAUAAGCUGACUUUUAACCAUGGUGCUCUUUUAAAAAAUAUUUUCAAAUCCCUUAUUACUUGAGUUGGUCAAGCCGCCAAUAUUUCUGGCUUUUGAACUUUACCAAAAGCAACCUCACAGGUGAAACUAACAAACCUCAACUAAGGUUAUGACUUAACCACAAGUAUUAUGAAUUAUUUUCAAAGAGAUGUUAAGC
rnacentral:lncRNA from 1 species